UGGACCGCCCAACGGUUCGGCGUGCAAGGGAUACUGUUGAUAUCGAGGCCGGGAGAGGUCGGAGGUACUCCUGGGGUAGCGGUGAAAUGCUCUAAUCCUAGGGGGACCACCAGUGGCGAAGGCGUCCGACCAGAACGGACCUGACGGUGAGGGGCGAAGGCUAGGGGAGCGAACGGGAUUAGAUACCCCGGUAGUCCUAGCUGUAAAGCAUGCGGGCCAGGUGUCUAGUGCUCCUCGAGGGCACUAGGUGCCGGAGGGAAGCCGUUAAGCCCGCCGCCUGGGAAGUACGGCCGCAAGGCUGAAACUUAAAGAAAUUGGCGGGGGAGCACCACAAGGGGUGGGACCUGCGGUUCAAUUGGAUUCAACGCCGGAAAACUCACCAGGGGCGACAGCUGGUUGACGGCCAGGUUGACGAUCUUGCCCGACUAGCUGAGAGGUGGUGCAUGGCCAUCGUCAGCUCGUACCGUGAGGCGUCCUGUCAAGUCAGGCAACGAGCGAGAUCCUCGCCCUUAGUUGCCAUCGGUGGAAAAGCCGGGCACUCUAGGGGGACCGCUGGCGCUAAGCCAGAGGAAGGAGAGGGCGACGGUAGGUCAGUAUGCCCCGAAUCCCCUGGGCUACACGCGGGUCACAAUGCGCAGGACAAUGGGAUGCAACCUCGUAAGGGGGAGCCAAGCCCCUAAACCUGCGCUCGGUUCGGAUCGAGGGCUGUAACCCGCCCUCGUGAAGCUGGAAUCCCUAGUAAUCGCGUGCCAACACCGCGCGGUGAAUGCGUCCCUGCUCCUUGCACGAAUUCGCCGA
rnacentral:rRNA from 1 species